GAUGGAAGCUUGCUGCCUACGUGGGUGAGGGUGGAUUUUUCUUAGGGAGUCUACUGAUUCAAAUGCUAAUUUCUUCUGGAAACACCCACCCAGGGACCUCUAGAGGGGAUCAUUGGAGGCCGCAGAGAGACCAGGAAACAGAGAAACAGGACUCCUUGUCCCCCAGUGCUGGUCACGUCGUGCAUUCUGUACAGCAGACCAAAUAAGGUGGCUCUGACUGCAGUGAAAUUUCCAAGAGAGAGGAAAUGAUCAAAGAAAGAAACAGAACCAUUUCUGACACCAUGGAUAUUAAGGGGGGAAAAAAAAAAUUGAAAAAAUUUUGUUUUCCUAUAAGAAUAGAC
rnacentral:lncRNA from 1 species